CUUCUUCUUCUUCGUGUGUUUCGUCCUGCAGCUGCGCAGCCCAGGCUCAUAAUGUGAGACCAGAACAGGAAGCAGUGGAGGUGGCCGCCAUGUUGAAACCUCAGGCAGGACCAGCUGGAUCAGUGGUGGACGACAGCACCGAUAUCCCCGCUGGUCUGGUUCGACUUGGACCAGGAGCUGAUCCUGGUGCUGGAGGAGCUCUGGUCUCAUCUGUGACAUGUUCUGAAAUGUGAUUUUACUAGUCUUCUCAUGUAGUUACGUUAAAGUACUAUAUAAAUAACUUUGAUCCAAAGCAAAGUAAAAAUGACAUUUAAAACAUAA